rnacentral:rRNA from 1 species
AGGACGAACGCUGGCGGCGUGCCUAAUACAUGCAAGUCGAACGGUCUUUCUAUGGAAGCUUGCUUCCACUGAGAAGAUAGUGGCGAACGGGUGAGUAACACGUGGGUAACCUGCCUAUAAGAGGGGGAUAACAUCCGGAAACGGGUGCUAAUACCGCAUAGUUUUCUUGAUCGCAUGAUCGGGAAAGGAAAGACGGCCUUUGUGCUGUCGCUUAUGGAUGGACCCGCGGCGUAUUAGUUAGUUGGUGAGGUAACGGCUCACCAAGACGAUGAUACGUAGCCGACCUGAGAGGGUGAUCGGCCACAUUGGGACUGAGACACGGCCCAAACUCCUACGGGAGGCAGCAGUAGGGAAUCUUCCGCAAUGGACGAAAGUCUGACGGAGCAACGCCGCGUGAGUGAAGAAAGGUUUUCGGAUCGUAAAACUCUGUUGUCAGAGAAGAACAAGUUGGAGAGUAACUGCUCCAGCCUUGACGGUAUCUGACCAGAAAGCCACGGCUAACUACGUGCCAGCAGCCGC